GUCUCCCUAGAGUGUGCGCCAGUGGACUGCGUCCCUGAGCCGAUUCACACCAACCCGGAGAUUACAUUUUUAGAUUGGUGAGCAUGUCCGCUUGCGGAAAGCCUAAAGAUCUGACGUAAUCUCCACCUUGAACUUUCGGGUUCAAGGGCUAUGUCGACAGCGACACAUCCGGGGAGUCU
rnacentral:other from 3 species